UACGGAGGGGGCUAGCGUUGUUCGGAAUUACUGGGCGUAAAGCGCACGUAGGCGGACUGUUAAGUCGGGGGUGAAAUCCCGGGGCUCAACCCCGGAACUGCCUUCGAUACUGGCAGUCUAGAGGAAGGUAGAGGCUAGUGGAAUGGCGAGUGUAGAGGCGAAAUUCGUAGAUAUUCGCCGGAACACCAGUGGCGAAGGCGACUGGCUGGACCUUUUCUGACGCUGAGGUGCGAAAGCGUGGGGAGCAAACAGG
rnacentral:rRNA from 1 species